rnacentral:lncRNA from 1 species
AUUUUAUAUAGGCGGUUGCGUCUCAUCUACAUGAGAGUUUUUCGUGUGGAAGGUUUGACCAAAACUAUGUAAUAUAGAGGGAGAUACGAGCGUUUUCGUGAAUUUAUAGACUUUAGCCGACGAGAUAUUAAAAAAGUCGUCGGCUAAGGUCAAAAAUUGUUUGGCGGUAAACCAAAUUUGGAGGAAAAUUUUCAAAUGACUUUAGCCGACGGAAAUAUAUGAAAAGUCGUCGGCUAAAGUCGAAAAAAUAUUUGACGGCAAACCAAAUUUGGGAGAAAAUUUUCAAAAUUUUCAAAGGACUUUAGCCGACGAGCUUCAUUACUUUAGCCGACGAAUUUCACAAGUUUCGUCGGCUAAAGUCUGUUUCCGCCAAAAAUUUCGGAAAAUUUCAAACCUCCUUUAAAUUUUUAGCUCUCUCUUUAACCUACUCCCCUCAAACAUCUUAUCUUCUUCUUUCUCUCACCAAGAACUUCACCCAAUAACUUUUUCUUCUCUUCCCCACCGAAACAAACCCACUCACUCUCUCUUUCCUCUCCCUCUUCUCCUCCUCCUCUCCCUCUCCUCCCUCUUCCAACUCCUUAGAUCGAUCUUGUCACAUCCCGACCCUUAU